rnacentral:lncRNA from 1 species
AUUGGAGGUUCGUCAAUCUCUUUGGGAUGCUAGCUCCUUUACAGAGAUCUGCUCCUGAUGGCUGAUUAAUCUCCUUCAGAUCUCUUGGACACUCUCAGAGAGGAAGGAGGAUUGAAGGAAGAAGAGGUGUAGAAAGAUCUUAAGAACUCUUUUUCUUUUCCUAAAACCCAACACCUAAACCCUAGGUCCUUCUUCAUGCCAAGAUGGAG